ACGCUGGCGGCGUGCCUAAUACAUGCAAGUCGAACGGUCUUUCUAUGGAAGCUUGCUUCCACUGAGAAGAUAGUGGCGAACGGGUGAGUAACACGUGGGUAACCUGCCCAUAAGAGGGGGAUAACAUCCGGAAACGGGUGCUAAUACCGCAUAGUUUUCUUGAUCGCAUGAUCGGGAAAGGAAAGACGGCCUUUGUGCUGUCGCUUAUGGAUGGACCCGCGGCGUAUUAGUUAGUUGGUGAGGUAACGGCUCACCAAGACGAUGAUACGUAGCCGACCUGAGAGGGUGAUCGGCCACAUUGGGACUGAGACACGGCCCAAACUCCUACGGGAGGCAGCAGUAGGGAAUCUUCCGCAAUGGACGAAAGUCUGACGGAGCAACGCCGCGUGAGUGAAGAAGGUUUUUCCGGAUCGUAAAACUCUGUUGUCAGAGAAGAACAAGUUGGAGAGUAACUGCUCCAGCCUUGACGGUAUCUGACCAGAAAGCCACGGCUAACUACGUGCCAGCAGCCGC
rnacentral:rRNA from 1 species